rnacentral:rRNA from 1 species
GACGUAGGUGGCGAACGUUAUCCGGAAUUAUUGGGCGUAAAGCGUGCGCAGGCGGUUUUGCGAGCCGGAUGUGAAAUCCCCGGGCUUAACCUGGGAACUGCAGUUGUGACUGCAUCGCUGGAGUGCGGCAGAGGGGGAUGGAAUUCCGCGUGUAGCAGUGAAAUGCGUAGAUAUGCGGAGGAACACCGAUGGCGAAGGCAAUCCCCUGGGCCUGCACUGACGCUCAUGCACGAAAGCGUGGGGAGCAAACAGG